GCUUGAAUAGCUCAGUUGGUAGAGCAAUCGGCUGUUAACCGAUCGGUCGUAGGUCCGAGUCCUACUUCAAGCGCCA
rnacentral:tRNA from 1 species